rnacentral:lncRNA from 1 species
AAGUUUCCAAUCUUUGAUUCAAUAUUACAACACAAAGCAAAAACAAAAAAUCAAAAUGGAAGAAAGAAUAUAAAGCACAGAAUGUUGGGUGGUUGAUCAUAAUUUCUUGCUCUCUUUGGCUUAGUUGAUGAUUGCAGUGCUUCAAUGAUUGUCUGCUCUUGAUGAACAUACUGUGAAGAAGAUGAAUAUACAUAUGAUAGGAAAUUUAACAGAGAUUCAGCUUAUUAAUG